CCUACGGGAGGCAGCAGUGAGGAAUAUUGGUCAAUGGACGAGAGUCUGAACCAGCCAAGUAGCGUGAAGGAUGACUGCCCUAUGGGUUGUAAACUUCUUUUAUAUGGGAAUAAAAUGUUCCACGUGUGGGAUUUUGUAUGUACCAUAUGAAUAAGGAUCGGCUAACUCCGUUACAGCAGCCGCGGUAAUACGGAGGAUCCGCGCGUUAUCCGGGUUUAUUGGGUUUAACGGGAGCGUAGGUGGAUUGUUAAGUCAGUUUUGAAAUUGUGCGGCUCACCCGUAAAAUUGCAGUUGAAACUGGCAGUCUUGAGUACAGUAGAGGUGGGCGGAAUUCGUGGUGUAGCGGUGAAAUGCUUAGAUAUCACGAAGAACUCCGAUUGCGAAGGCAGCUCACUGGACUGCAACUGACACUGAGGCUCGAAAGUGUGGGUAUCAAACAGGAUUAGAUACCCUUGUAGUC
rnacentral:rRNA from 1 species